GGGGGUAGAAGGUGCCUGGCUAGGCUGCUGCCUGGGACACGAGGCUAGUGCCAAAAUGGCAAAGUGCCAUUGUCCCUUCCUGAUUUUAGGCGCGCAGAGCUCCGAUCUGAGCCGCUAGGUAGUCUAAGAUGAAAAGGCAGGGAAAUUAAUGAUUUCUAGACCCCUCUUUAAGAGCUCAAAGGAAAGCAAAAUGAAAACUCCUAAGACACUUAGGAUACCCGCCCAUUGGAAGCUGAUUUUGCCGGGAAUAUUAUUUGUGUGGAAUCUGAAAUUAUAGUGGAAAUUUCCACGAUAACGCAAGGAUCUGUCUUCAGGUCAACAGAGUUCCUAAGAAGCAAUGGACAAAGACCCAGAGUCUGUGCUGGGGGCCUUGGAAGGCUCUAAACCCUGAGCAGCAGUUUACAGAAGAGGCGAACAAUAUGGAUAUGGAGACAAUCUCUGUAAGUCUUGCUAUGGAAGAAGGAGUUCUCAUGGGGCAAGAACUACUCCAGUUGUUCCCUUAAUGGGGUAGCCAGGGUAGCCUUCAG
rnacentral:lncRNA from 1 species